rnacentral:lncRNA from 1 species
UUUAGAGGGAGUGGUAGGAGCGUCCUAGGAUGAAGCUUAGGCCACUGGCUGGGGUACAGCGUAGGUCACUGGUACACGUUUGCCUUCCACGCUCAAAGGCCUGGGAUCAAUCCCUAGCUCCACACACGGACACACUCAAAAUAAAUACUCAAAAAGGAAAGGAGGAGCAGCACCGGGCAGCAGAGGACGCACGGGAAAGACGUUCAACAACAGUAAAAGCGAGCCAGUCAGGAAGAAAGGGUGCUGAGACACUGGAGGAACAUAAGGCAAAUCUGCCAACAGGGUAUUGUUGUCAUACCUGCUCUACGCUUACAAAGUCCUCGUCUUCGAGCUCAGCUUCUAAAAUCUUCUCGGCACCGGACCCACUCUGCCCGCCUCCCUUGUCCCGAACAGGCAAAGCUCUUUGCCUCUCUGAAAAGCAGGCGGGACCAGUUACGAUCACUAGGGGGCGCACACACAUCAGCGGUCCGGCGAGUUGGGACGAAGAUAAAGAUAAGGAACACUAGAAGUGGACACAUGCAAUUUAGAGACCUUGGCUCCUCUUAACAAGGAGGGUAUUGUGCAUGCAGGAUACCGGUCCCAACAGGAGUCAAGUUUAGCAGCUUCACACUACAGGCCCGACAGAGUCCGCACUGCUCAGCGCCAGAACACCAAGAGCCUGGACCCUGAAACCUAAGGAUCUGGUUCUUCCUGGUCCUGCCUCCUACUGGUGUGUGAUGCUGGAUACAUCACUAAAAACUCUAUACCUGAUUUGUCAUCCGUGACACAGAAGAUACCCAAUUCCUCCCCCAGUAUGGCUGUGUUUGAAGACCAAUGCUUUUACAAUGCUAGGCAUGAUAUCAGUCACUUUACAUAAAUCCUGUGAAAUAAAGUUGGAAACAGUGGCACAUAUUUGGAACUCCCUACAGGAGGAUCACAAAUUCGAGGCCAGCUUGGGCAACGUAGUGAGAUUCUGUCCGAAAAUGAAGAAAGGGGUAGGGAUGUCAGUCAGUUGAGGUGGAACCUGCAGUCCUGUGGAGAGGACAGACCCAGAGGGGAGGGGAGGGGAGGGGCGGGGAGGGCAGGGGACCACUAUGAAGUAAAAGCCUAUGUAUCUGAUGUGACUUGUGACUAAAAUAAGUAAUUUGUUAGUUGACCUAAAGUUAAUUACGGGGUAGAAUCAUGAAAAGAUACAUACUUUUAGAGGCAUUUACUUUAACUUGAAACACAUAAAUAUACAAGCAUUCACUUUUGACGUAAGACCAAGUCUUUUUGCUUGAGUACGAGUCUCGUUUUUUCUGCACAAAUCCAACUCAAAAGGCAGCACUACUGACUUCUACUUUAGGUUUCCGUGAAGUGGAAUAUGAGCUAAAUAUCAAUGGAGGGAUGUGACUGCUGAGUCUUUCCAAAUGUUUUGCUGCUUUUUUAUUUUUUGGUACCAGGAAUUGAACUUGGGACCUUGCACUUGAGAAGCAGGAGGAGGAACCACUGAGCUAAAUCCCUGGCCCCAAAAGAUUUGGGGGGGGGUGCCAAGGAUUGAACUCGGGACCUUGCACUUGCGAGGCCAGCAGCAGAACCACUGAGCUAAAUCCCCAGCAUUUGCUGCUUUUUUAAGACUCUGUUGUAUCAACUACAUUCAACAGUGAAUACUUCCAGCAACUUUUUUAUUAGUCAUUCCAAACCAGGUUAAUUUUCACCAAAGCAAUCUUCAUUUUGUAUUCAUAGUCUAUUAAUUUACAUAAUAU